rnacentral:tRNA from 1 species
GGGGUCGUAGUUCAGUCUGGUUAGAACGCUAGCCUGUCACGCUAGAGGUCGCGAGUUCAAGUCUCGUCGGCCCCG